GGGAGCGUAGCUCAGAUGAAAGAGCGCUCGCUUAGCAUGCGAGAGGUACGGGGAUCGAUACCCUGCGCCUCCA
rnacentral:tRNA from 1 species